rnacentral:rRNA from 1 species
UACGGGGGGGGCAAGCGUUGUUCGGAAUUACUGGGCGUAAAGGGCGCGUAGGCGGUUGGAUAAGUCAGCUGUGAAAACCACGGGCUUAACUCGUGGCCUGCAGUUGAGACUGUCUGGCUUGAGUGUGGGAGAGGAGAGUGGAAUUCCUGGUGUAGCGGUGAAAUGCGUAGAUAUCAGGAGGAACACCGGUGGCGAAGGCGGCUCUCUGGACCACAACUGACGCUGAGGCGCGAAAGCUAGGGGAGCAAACGGG